GACGAACGCUGGCGGCGUGCCUAAUACAUGCAAGUCGAACGAACAGACCCUGAGUUUGCUCUACUCACGUUAGCGACGGGUGGGUGAGUAACGGGUGGUUAACCUUCCUUUACGUACGGGGCAAAUGCGGGUAACACGAGUUAAUACCGGAUAACAUCUUAAAACGGUUUGUUCAACAGUGUAUGAGGGUUUUGCUGUCAUUUAUGGAUGGCUCCGUGAGGCAUUAGCUAUGUGGUAAGGUAACGGCUUACCAAGGCAACGCUGAGUACCCGACCUGAAGGGGGGGACGGCCACAGUGGAGCUGGGACACCGUCCUGACCCCUACAGGAGGCAGCAAGUGGGAAUCUUCCGCAAUGGGCGGAAGCCUGAACGAGGAACGCCGCGUGGAUGCAGAAAGGCUUCGGGUCGGAAAACGCUUUUAUUUGGGAAAAACAAAUGUGGUAGGAACUAUGCUCGUCGUGACGGUACCUAAACAAGAAGCCCCGGCUAACUACGUG
rnacentral:rRNA from 1 species